CACGUAUUUAGCCGUUCCUUUCUGGUAAGAUACCGUCACACACUGAACAGUUACUUUCAGUGCCGUUCUUCUCUUAUAACAGUUGUUUUACGAGCCGAAACCCUUCAUCACACACGCGGCGUUGCUCCAUCAGGCUUGCGCCCAUUGUGGAAGAUUCCCUACUGCUGCCUCCCGUAGGAGUAUGGGCCGUGUCUCAGUCCCAUUGUGGCCGAUCAGUCUCUCAACUCGGCUAUGCAUCAUUGCCUUGGUAAGCCGUUACCUUACCAACUAGCUAAUGCACCGCGGGUCCAUCUCUUAGUGAUAGCAGAACCAUCUUUCAACCAACAACCAUGCGGUUGUUGGUAUUAUACGGUAUUAGCUACUUGUUUACCAAAUCGUUUAACUCCCCUGCUAAGAGGUACGGUUACCCAGUUGUUACUCACCCGUUUCGCCACUUCGUUUCGUCACGUAUAAAAAUC
rnacentral:rRNA from 1 species